UUAUUACAACAUGUUUCUUUCUAUACAAACGGAAUACUAAGAUCAUGCAGUUUGAGGGCACCUAUACACUUUUCUCUUUUUACACACGAAGGUUGAAAUAAGAUUAUUUCUCACCGUACAAUAUAAUCGAAACCUGGGCGUGGUCCAAAUAGGCAAUUCCAGCUUUUAGUUUAUGCGUGUAGGAGGUUGAUUAUGUUGAAAAAAUAAAACUGGUGGCCGUGUAAACACGGAGUGACUAUAUUGACAGGUUGUUUCGGCAGUUUUUUAUUGAAAUUUUUCAGCAUAAGCAGUAAUACGAUACCUUACUUCCCAUCACCCCCUGCGCUCAUAAAUUAAAAGUUGGAACUGCUUAUUCUUAAAGUGCAACGCCACUGUGUUUUUGUUGGAAGCGGGAUAAAUUUCUCUUGAGCACAAACUAAACGCUGACUUAUCCAAUGUUAACGACUGGUUAGAAGCAAAUAGGUUGACAUUGAAUGCAGACAAAACAGAAUUUAUGAUAAUAGCCUCAAAAAGAAAACUUAAUCAAUUUCGCACUGAUAUUCGUAUACAUAUAAACGGAUCCAUUAUUAAACAAGUUAAGCAAAAAAAAAACCUUAGGUAUUACAAUUGAUAACGAACUAAGGUGGACUGAACACAUUAAUGAGCAAUGCAAAAAACUUUCAAGUGCAAUAGCUCUGCUUAGAAAAGCAAAACCACACGUACCUUACAACGACUUACUCCGUAUUUACAAUUCCC